AAACUUUUGUUCUUCCUUUCAAUACACCAAAAUAAGAGAGAAGUGUUAGAGCUGUAAGAGUAAUCCACAGACUAUUUUAGAGUGGGAGUAAUAUUAUGGUAUGAAGUUAUUUGGAAAUCGUAUCAAUCGAACCUGUAUAUGAGUUGGCUUGGAAAACCUAGAUGAAAUAUGAUCUGAGGCUUCUCUGUCACUUGCAACAGGUUAUUUUGCGGCCAUGGCGUGGUCUCCUGCUCUUUGCCUCAUUAGAUAUAUAGCGUAGACAAAUGGUCCUUCUAGACAUUGUUUGAUGGAAACUAUUUAAUUCUUCUGAACUCCGCUCAUAGAUAGGCCUUAAUAUAAAAUGGGAAUUACUACUUAUUUAUUUACAUUUCUUCAAUUUUGCCGGUAAACGAAUGAUUUCUUGCUGGAAGAAAUUAACAAUGCUUAGCUCUUUCUAUGUCUCUGGUGAAGGUUCUUCGUCGUCCAUUAUGGCACUUCAGUAAAAAAAAAAUUAAAGUGAGGCUUAUUUUUUAUCCUUCCUACUACUGUGAUUCCACGUGUUAAUUCUGAAAGUAUCUGCCUAAAACUUUUGCUUCUGAAGAUGCACGUUGAUGUUAUUGAUUUCCUUUUGUAAUUUAUUUUGUUGGAAUAUAACAGUUACAAAAUUUUGAUUUUAAAGAUUUUUGAAAGUGCAAGUUGCGCAAGGUAUAAAGAGACACUUCCUCGAGUGUAAGAGGAUCGAGCCCUGGCCUUGGAAGCCAUCCAUUCAAGCCUUCCCAGUCCUUUUUUAUUGUUUUUUGAUCGGACUUUCUAAAUCCAUAUGGUAUGAUAUGGCUUUCAAGCUUCUUAGCCUGGGUUUGUGUGAAGCAUGAGAACAUGUUACCCUCAGUAUGGUGGUGGGGCAAACUUCAGCGAGGACGCUGAGUCCCAAGAGGGGGUGAAUGUGAUGCCCAUGAAGGAGGGUGAGCCGAUGAGGGCGGGUCAAGCGCUGGCAAGCUUCUUAAGAAGAGGUGAACAUAUCACCUUAGGCAAAUCCGACAUCGGAAUGAGAGAAGAAAGUGAAGAGCUAUAUAAGGCAUGAGUUAAGCCCAUAUGGUACUCGCACUUUGGGGCUCGAGGUGGCAUGGACCAAAAAGAUAAAUUUGUGCGGGCCUAAGCCCAAAGCGGACAAUACAUGCCAUGGACUUGGAUCGUGACACUUUAAUAAAGAACUUCAUGAAUCAAUGAAAUGUUUGCAAAACAGAUGCUUAGCAGUAAAAUGAAAGUAUUGAACUACAAUAAUAUGAACUUUUCUUUCUCUGUCUGUAUCCAUUUUCACUGAUAAUGAAGUUUUCAAUGUCAAACUCUGAGUAUAUGAGAAGACUAAGACCCGAGAAAUUGUAAUGGAAACGAAACAACAGAGGUUUAUGAUGAAAUUUUUUAAAUCUUUUCUACUAGGUAAUCUCUUCUGAAGUAUGUACUCCUAUUUUGUUAUUGAAAGAUGGAAACUGUAGUUUCACUUAUUAA